CCUACGGGUGGCAGCAGUGAGGAAUAUUGGUCAAUGGGCGUAAGCCUGAACCAGCCAAGUCGCGUGAGGGAUGAAGGUUCUAUGGAUCGUAAACCUCUUUUAUAAGGGAAUAAAGUGUGGGACGUGUCCUAUUUUGCAUGUACCUUAUGAAUAAGGAUCGGCUCACUCCGUGCCAGCAGCCGCGGUAAUACGGAGGAUCCGAGCGUUAUCCGGAUUUAUUGGGUUUAAAGGGUGCGUAGGCGGCCUGUUAAGUCAGCGGUGAAAGUCUGUGGCUCAACCCGAGAAUUGCCGUUGAAACUGGGGGGUUGGAGUAUGGUUGAGGCAGGCGGAAUGCGUGGUGUAGCGGUGAAAUGCUUAGAGAUCACGCAGAACCCCGAUUGCGAAGGCAGCCGGCCAAGCCAUGACUGACGCUGAUGCACGAAAGCGUGGGGAUCAAACAGGAUUAGAUACCCUGGUAGUC
rnacentral:rRNA from 1 species